ACAACGGAGAGUUUGAUCCUGGCUCAGGACGAACGCUGGCGGCGUGCCUAACACAUGCAAGUCUACGAGAAAUCCUGCUUCGGCGGGAGAGUAAAGUGGCGCACGGGUGAGUAACACGUAGGUAAUCUGCCUUUAGGACGGGAACAACUCCGAGAAAUCGGGGCUAAUACCCGAUGAUGCAGCGGCACCGCAUGGUGAAUGUUGUUAAAGGUUUCGACGCAAGUCGGAAUGCCUAUUGAUGAGCCUGCGUCCCAUUAGGUAGUUGGUGAGGUGACGGCCCACCAAGCCUACGAUGGGUAGCUGGUCUGAGAGGAUGAUCAGCCACACUGGAACUGAGACACGGUCCAGACUCCUACGGGAGGCAGCAGUGAGGAAUAU
rnacentral:rRNA from 1 species